CGGCACGGGUGCGUAACGCGUAUGCAACCUACCAUCAACAGGGGGAUAACACUGAGAAAUUGGUACUAAUACCCCAUAAUAUCUCAUGCGGCAUCGCAUGGGGUUGAAAACUCCGGUGGUUGAUGAUGGGCAUGCGUUGUAUUAGCUGGUUGGUGAGGUAACGGCUCACCAAGGCGACGAUACAUAGGGGGACUGAGAGGUUAACCCCCACAUUGGUACUGAGACACGGACCAAACUCCUACGGGAGGCAGCAG
rnacentral:rRNA from 1 species